CCCGGCGGCAAAUUAAGGCCUUUUAGCCCUAUAAACUCCCAGGGAAACUCAUGAUUCGUGCCUCUCCAAGUCUCCUAGGCUGCACCCCUCGACAAGUUGUAAGAAACGGAAAUUCCCAGUGAAGGAGACAAGAACAUGCCAGUCUACAAGGAAGUAGGUCCAAGGCAUGUACCUUCCUGAACUUCUACGAAAGAGAUAACUGAGAGAAAAGAUGGGGCAAAUUAGUUAACACUCAACCCAAGGGGCAAACUUGCAUCAACAAAUCUUGUUGGCUUGCCCAUUAAAGAGAGGAUUCAGGACAAAGCGACAGGUCAUUUAGUGACGUCCAAGAAACACUGAGAGUGGCUCACCCAAGAGGGAGCAGAGAGCAGCCAGAAUAAGUUACUAAACGACAUCGACAGAAAGAGAAUAUCUACAGAUCC
rnacentral:lncRNA from 1 species